rnacentral:rRNA from 1 species
GACGAACGCUGGCGGCGUGCUUAACACAUGCAAGUCGAACGGUGAAGCGCCUUCCUUUUUGGUGGGUGUGGAUGAGUGGCGAACGGGUGAGUAACACGUGAGUAACCUGCCCCCUUCUUCUGGAUAACCGCAUGAAAGUGUGGCUAAUACGGGAUAUUCUGGGUCUGUCGCAUGAUGGGUCUGGGAAAGAUAUUGUUUCGGUGGGUGAUGGGCUCGCGGCCUAUCAGCUUGUUGGUGGGGUGAUGGCCUACCAAGGCGGUGACGGGUAGCCGGCCUGAGAGGGUGGACGGUCACACUGGGACUGAGACACGGCCAAGACUCCUACGGGAGGCAGCAGUGAGGAAUAUUGCACGAUGGGCGCAAGCAUGAUGCAGCGACGCCGCGUGAGGGAUGGAGGCCUUCGGGUUGUGAACCUCUUUCGCCAGUGAAGCAGGGCUGCCUCGUUUGUGGGUGGGUUGACGGUAGCUGGAUAAGAAGCGCCGGCUAACUACGUG